rnacentral:rRNA from 1 species
AGGAGAAGUCGUAACAAGGUUUCCGUAGGUGAACCUGCGGAAGGAUCAUUGUCGUGACCCUGACCAAAACAGACCGUGAACGCGUCAUCUUGCCUGCCAGCGGCGGCCCUGCCGUCGCUUGGCCAAACUCCUCGAUAACCUCCUCUCCUUGGAGCGGGGGCUCGGGGUAAAAGAACCCACGGCGCCGAAGGCGUCAAGGAACACUGUGCCUAACCCGGGGAAGCGGCUGGCUUGCUAGCUGCCCCUCGUGUUGCAAUGCUAUUUAAUCCACACGACUCUCGGCAACGGAUAUCUCGGCUCUCGCAUCGAUGAAGAACGUAGCGAAAUGCGAUACCUGGUGUGAAUUGCAGAAUCCCGCGAACCAUCGAGUCUUUGAACGCAAGUUGCGCCCGAGGCCACUUGGCCGAGGGCACGCCUGCCUGGGCGUCACGCCAAACACGCUCCCACCCCUCAUCGGGUUGUGGGAUGCGGCAUGUGGCUCCCCGUCUUGCAAGGGGCGGUGGGCCGAAGAUGCGGCUGCCGGCGUAUCGUGCCGGACACAGCGCGUGGUGGGCGAACUCGCUUUACUUACCGCAGUGCAUCCGGCCCAUAGCCGACGUGAUGGCCUUAAGGACCCUAUGAACGGAGCGCAUGACGCUCCGACCGCGACCCCAGGUCAGGCGGGACUACCCGCUGAAU